GAUGAACGCUAGCGGCAGGCCUAACACAUGCAAGUCGAGGGGCAGCACGUCUUCGGAUGGUGGCGACCGGCGCACGGGUGCGUAACGCGUAUGCAACCUACCUCUUACAGUGGGAUAGCCCAGAGAAAUUUGGAUUAAUACCGCAUAGUAUACAGAUUCAGCAUUGGGACUGUAUUAAACAUUUAUGGGUAAGAGAUGGGCAUGCGUUCUAUUAGUUAGUUGGAGUGGUAACGGCACCCCAAGACAGCGAUAGAUAGGGGCCCUGAGAGGGGGAUCCCCCACACUGGUACUGAGACACGGACCAGACUCCUACGGGAGGCAGCAGUGAGGAAUAUUGGACAAUGGGCGAGAGCCUGAUCCAGCCAUGCCGCGUGCAGGAAGACGGCCCUAUGGGUU
rnacentral:rRNA from 1 species